GUCUGGUCGAUUCGGGUUCAAAGUGCUCAUCUUCGCUUUAGUUUGCCUCUUUUUUCUCAAGGAGAACUCGAAGGAAGCAAGCAGCGAUGGCGAACGAAGGCGAUCUUUGGGACGAUUCCGCCCUCAUCAACGCCUUCGACGACGCCAUGUCCAAGUACAAGCUAAUGCAUGGCCAAAAGAAUAGCAAUGCAUCCAAAGGAGUAGAAGUCGUUGAUGAGCAGGAAAAAAGUAUUUCUUCUCCUGGCCAGGGAAAUCAUAUCACGAUGAGGGAAGAACCUGAACACGCUGUAGCAUCAAAUUGUGCAGAAGUUCCUGGAGAGGCUAAGAAUGACCCAUCAGUUAAUGAAAACCCUUGUGUAGAUGUGUUGGCUGAGGGAUCUCAUCCAGAUUCAUCAAAUGGCAUGCCUGUACAAGAUACCAUAGAAGCCCUUUCAUAUUCUCAAGGUGUUGAAGGUUAUGACCAGUUGCUUGCGGAAUAUUAUGAGCUUGAACAAAAGAGGGAAAAGGUUCUUCAGCUGCUGCAUCAAUAUGGCGACUGGAAUUACCAGUUUCCUCAGGAUGCUACUGGAGCUGCUCCUAGUGCACCGUGGACUACUGCUACUGCUGCUAUAGAGCCUUGUGUCCCUUCAGGCCACACAUAUCCAGUUGGUAGCUCAUGCUGCCCUUGUGUUUGUCAGUCAUUUGUAGCACCAUGCCCUGUUUAUACUUGUUCUUUCGGUAAAACGUGUGUCGGCCAAAUUUGCAAUGGUGCUCCUUCCACAAGUCAUCAAAAAGCACCCGUCGAGGAUUCUGACAUUACGAGGACAGCUAUUGAAGCUGCGGAGAAAGCAAUAUCUUCUUUGAAGAUUGGAAGAUCUACUGGGGAAGAAAGUGGAUCUGGAUAUUUAUCAGGUAAAGAGAAAAAGCCAGAAGUGGAAACUUUACAGAGUGAAAGUUCCGAAACUGAUCUUAGUGUUGUUCUGAAUGCAUGGUAUUCUGCAGGCUUUUACACGGGCAAGUAUCUCGUGGAGCGGUCUGUUCGAGAGAAACGGCAUAUUCCUAAACAAUAAGAACUGAUCCAUGGUUUUGAGCUCCUCCAAAGCAGUUCUGUGCUAAAUUUUUUGACAUUCGUAUGCAUGAUUAUUCGUGAUUCGAUAUGUAUGUUCUUGGACCGUGACUCCAUCAUGCAAGUUGGAAACCAGACUGAUAACUGAUUUCCC